rnacentral:rRNA from 1 species
UACGUAGGUGGCAAGCGUUGUCCGGAUUUACUGGGCGUAAAGAGCGCGCAGGCGGUCUUUUAAGUCGAGUGUGAAAGCCCCUGGCUCAACCAGGGAGGGUCAUUCGAUACUGCUUGACUCGAAGGCAGGAGAGGGAAGUGGAAUUCCGGGUGUAGUGGUGAAAUGCGUAGAUAUCCGGAGGAACACCAGUGGCGAAGGCGACUUUCUGGCCUGUUCUUGACGCUGAGGCGCGAAAGCUAGGGGAGCAAACGGG